GGGGGCGAAAUUGGCUUCGACGGGGGUUUGGAGCUUUUAGUAGCGAGCCGUUGUGAGGAACAACGAUAAAAGUCUCAACAAAAAUUAAACGAUAACGAUAAUUACGCGUUAGCUGCCUAAGCGGCGGCUCAUCCAUUAAGAGAGUCCCACGACUUUUAACUGGGUGUCAAAUUAGUGGGAAACGAAGCUCUGUAAGUUGCCAUAACAGAGGGGGUAUUAAUGGUAAUAUAGUUUGGAAAUCCUGUUAAUUGGAGUUUUAAACCGAACACUAAAUAAUUAACUGCGCUCGGAGAAACUGACUGGGAAGGACUUUCGGACGUGGGUUCGACCCCCACCGCCUCCACCA
rnacentral:tmRNA from 1 species